GAUGAACGCUGGCGGCGUGCCUAAUACAUGCAAGUCGAGCGAACAGACGAGGAGCUUGCUCCUCUGACGUUUGCGGCGGACGGGUGAGUAACACGUGGAUAACCUACCUAUAAGACUGGGAUAACUUCGGGAAAACGGAGCAAAUACCGGAUAAUAUAUUGCACCGCGUGGUUCAAUAGUGAAAGACGGUUUUGCUGACACUUAUAGAUGGAUCCGCGCCGCAUUAGCUAGUUGGUAAGGUAACGGCUUACGAAGGCAACGAUGCGUAGCCGACCCGAGAGGGAGGUCGCACACACGGGAACUGAGAGACGGUCCAGACUCCUACGGGAGGCAGCAGUAGGGAAUCUCCCGCAAUGGGCGAAAGCCUGACGGAGCAACGCCGCGUGAGUGAUGAAGGUCUUCGGAUCGUAGAACUCUGUUAUUAGGGAAGAACAAAUGUGUAAGUAACUAUGCACGUCUUGACGGUACCUAAUCAGAAAGCCACGGCUAACUACGUG
rnacentral:rRNA from 1 species